GAUGAACGCUGGCGGCGUGCCUAAUACAUGCAAGUCGAGCGAACAGACGAGGAGCUUGCUCCUCUGACGUUAGCGGCGGACGGGUGAGUAACACGUGGAUAACCUACCUAUGAGACUGGGAUAACUUCGGGAAACCGGAGCUAAUACCGGAUAAUAUAUUGAACCGCAUGGUUCAAUAGUGAAAGACGGUUUUGCUGUCACUUAUAGAUGGAUCCGCGCCGCAUUAGCUAGUUGGUAAGGUAACGGCUUACCAAGGCAACGAUGCGUAGCCGACCUGAGAGGGUGAUCGGCCACACUGGAACUGAGACACGGUCCAGACUCCUACGGGAGGCAGCAGUAGGGAAUCUUCCGCAAUGGGCGAAAGCCUGACGGAGCAACGCCGCGUGAGUGAUGAAGGUCUUCGGAUCGUAAAACUCUGUUAUUAGGGAAGAACAAAUGUGUAAGUAACUAUGCACGUCUUGACGGUACCUAAUCAGAAAGCCACGGCUAACUACGUG
rnacentral:rRNA from 1 species